rnacentral:rRNA from 1 species
AGUGAACGCUGGCGGUAGGCCUAACACAUGCAAGUCGAACGGCAGCACCGUAAGAGCUUGCUCUUACGGGUGGCGAGUGGCGGACGGUUGCGGUAUACAUCGGAAUCUACUUUUUCGUGGGGGAUAACGUCGGGAAACUUACGCUAAUACAGCAUAUAUCGUCCGGGGGAAAGCCGGGGUCUUUCGAACUUGGCGGGGUGGAAUCGGCCGAUGUCGGAUUAGCUCGUUGGCGGGGUAGAGACCAACCAAGGCGACGCUCGGUAGCGGGUCUGAGAGAAGGGUCAGCCACACUGGAAGAGAGACACGGGCCAGACUCCUGCGGGAGGCAGCAGUGGGGAAUAUUGGACGAUGGGCGCGAGCCUGAUCCAGCCAUACCGGGUGGGUGAAGAAGGCCUUCGGGUUGGAAAGCCCUUUUGUUGGGAAAGAAAAGCAGCAGGUUAAUACCCCGCUGUUCUGACGGUACCCAAAGAAUAAGCACCGGCUAACUUCGUG